CAAAGUAUCAAUUAAGCAAGCAAAAGAAGAGGUGUUCUUCCAUAUAAAUCAAGCUAAAUGGAACAAAUAAGCAAACACUGAAAUAUAAAAUGUACAAACAGUACAAUGUGCAAUUGUAGCGGAUCUUCGGAGCAAUUUAAACCAUCACUGGAAGACUUUUCCAUCAUACAUUCUCUUUCGGUAGCUGGAGUUGAUCUCGGGACCAGAUCCUGUACAUCUGCUAGGACAGGAGGUGGUUCAGGUUGUCUAAUAAUUUCUUCAAGAGGAAGGCAAUCAAUAGUUUCAAAAGAAACCAGAUCUGGAGUUGAUCUCGGGAUCAGAUCCUGUACAUCUGCUAGGACAGGAGGUGGUUCAGGUUGUUUAAUAAUUUCUUCUUGAGGAAGGCUGUCAACAGUUUCAAAAGAAAUCAGAGAAUCAAUUUCUUGAGUCUGAAACGUUUGAUUUUC
rnacentral:lncRNA from 1 species